rnacentral:rRNA from 1 species
UGGCUCAGGACGAACGCUGGCGGCGUGCUUAACACAUGCAAGUCGAGCGGUAAGGCCCUUCGGGGUACACGAGCGGCGAACGGGUGAGUAACACGUGAGCAACCUGCCCCUGACUCCGGGAUAAGCCGGGGAAACCCGGUCUAAUACCGGAURGGACGCCUCGUCGCAUGGCGGGGUGUGGAAAGGUGUCUUUCCGGUCAGGGAGGGGCUCGCGGCCUAUCAGCUUGUUGGUGGGGUGAAGGCCUACCAAGGCGAUUACGGGUAGCCGGCCUGAGAGGGCGACCGGCCACACUGGGACUGAGACACGGCCCAGACUCCUACGGGAGGCAGCAGUGGGGAAUAUUGCGCAAUGGGCGGAAGCCUGACGCAGCGACGCCGCGUGGGGGAUGACGGCCUUCGGGUUGUAAACCUCUUUUACCACCGACGCAGGCCCGCGCUUCUGUGCGGGUUGACGGUAGGUGGGGAAUAAGGACCGGCCAACUACGUGCCAGCAGCCGCGGUAAUACGUAGGGUCCGAGCGUUGUCCGGAAUUAUUGGGCGUAAAGAGCUCGUAGGUGGCGUGUCGCGUCUGCUGUGUAAGUCCGGGGCUUAACUCCGGUUUUGCAGUGGAUACGGGCAUGCUAGAGGUAGGCAGGGGAGACUGGAAUUCCUGGUGUAGCGGUGAAAUGCGCAGAUAUCAGGAGGAACACCGGUGGCGAAGGCGGGUCUCUGGGCCUUACCUGACGCUGAGGAGCGAAAGCGUGGGGAGCGAACAGGAUUAGAUACCCUGGUAGUCCACGCUGUAAACGUUGGGCGCUAGGUGUGGGGACUUUCCACGGUUUCCGUGCCGUAGCUAACGCAUUAAGCGCCCCG